CGAGUGAAGCGGUAACAGCUCAAAUUUGAAAUCUGGCUCUUUCAGGGUCCGAGUUGUAAUUUGUAGAAGAUGUUUCGGGUGUGGCUCCGGUCUAAGUUCCUUGGAACAGGACGUCGUAGAGGGUGAGAAUCCCGUAUGUGACUGGCUGCCUCCGCCCAUGUGAAACUCUUUCGACGAGUCGAGUUGUUUGGGAAUGCAGCUCAAAAUGGGUGGUAAAUUUCAUCUAAAGCUAAAUAUUGGCCAGAGACCGAUAGCGCACAAGUAGAGUGAUCGAAAGAUGAAAAGCACUUUGGAAAGAGAGUUAAACAGUACGUGAAAUUGUUGAAAGGGAAGCGCUUGCAAUCAGACUUGCGCGCGGCCGAUCAUCCGGGGUUCUCCCCGGUGCACUCGGUCGCGUUCAGGCCAGCAUCGGUUUGGGUGGUGGGAUAAAGGCCUUGGGAAUGUAGCUUCUUUCGGGGAGUGUUAUAGCCCUCGGUGCAAUGCCGCCUAUCCAGACCGAGGACCGCGCUUCGGCUAGGAUGCUGGCGUAAUGGUUGUAAGCGACCCGUCUUGAAACACGGACCAAGGAGUCUAACACUUAUGCGAGUAUUUGGGUGUCAAACCCAUAUGCGUAAUGAAAGUGAACGGAGGUGAGAACCCUUAAGGGUGCAUCAUCGACCGGUCCUGAUGUCUUCGGAUGGAUCUGAGUAAGAGCAUAAUUGUUAGGACCCGAAAGAAGGUGAACUAUGCCUGAAUAGGGUGAAGCCAGAGGAAACUCUGGUGGAGGCUCGCAGCGGUUCUGACGUGCAAAUCGAUCGUCAAA
rnacentral:rRNA from 1 species